UAUUGCACAAUGGGGGAAACCCUGAUGCAGCGACGCCGCGUGAGCGAUGAAGCCCUUCGGGGUGUAAAGCUCUUUCGGCAGGGACGAUUAUGACGGUACCUGCAGAAGCAGCUGCGGCUAACUACGUGCCAGCAGCCGCGGUAAUACGUAGGCAGCAAGCGUUGUUCGGAAUUACUGGGCGUAAAGGGUGCGUAGGCGGCUUUUUAAGUUUGUCGUGAAAUCUCCCGGCUCAACCGGAGGGUGCGGCGAUACUAGAGCAGAGUGUGGGGAGAAAGUGAAUUCCUGGUGAGCGGUAAAUGCGAGUUCAGAGAACACCGGUGGUGUAACGCUUUCUGGCAAACUGCGUGGACAGAUCA
rnacentral:rRNA from 1 species